GUGCUCACUUCGGCAGCACUUACGCUAAAAUUGGAAGAGUACGGACGUUAGCCUGGGACGAGGUCAGCACGGCCGCUGCACAAGGGGGACACGGAAACUCAGGAAGCCGUCUAUACUUUU
rnacentral:snRNA from 1 species